GAUGAACGCUGGCGGCGUGCCUAAUACAUGCAAGUCGAACGCAUUGAGAGAAGUGCUUGCACUUUUCAAUUUGAGUGGCGAACGGGUGAGUAACACGUGGGCAACCUACCUGAUAGCGGGGGAUAACGAGUGGAAACAUUCGCUAAUACCGCAUAACAAUAGAGAAGGCAUCUUCUUUAUUUAAAAGGCGCUUUCAAGCGUCACUAUCAGAUGGGCCCGCGGUGCAUUAGUGAGUUGGUGGGGUGAAGGCCUACCAAGACGAUGAUGCAUAGCCGAGGUGAGAGACUGAUCGGCCACAUUGGGACUGAGACACGGCCCAAACUCCUACGGGAGGCUGCAGUAGGGAAUCUUCCACAAUGGACGAAAGUCUGAUGGAGCAACGCCGCGUGUGUGAUGAAGGCUUUCGGGUCGUAAAGCACUGUUGUAUGGGAAGAAAUGCUAGGCUAGGAAAUGAGCUUAGUUUGACGGUACCAUACCAGAAAGGGACGGCUAAAUACGUGCCAGCCGCCGCGGUAA
rnacentral:rRNA from 1 species